rnacentral:rRNA from 1 species
UGGGGAAUUUUGGACAAUGGGCGAAAGCCUGAUCCAGCAAUGCCGCGUGUGUGAAGAAGGCCUUCGGGUUGUAAAGCACUUUUGUCCAGAAAGAAAUCCUUGGCUCUAAUACAGUCGGGGGAUGACGGUACCGGAAGAAUAAGCACCGGCUAACUACGUGCCAGCAGCCGCGGUAAUACGUAGGGUGCAAGCGUUAAUCGGAAUUACUGGGCGUAAAGCGUGCGCAGGCGGUUUGCUAAGACCGAUGUGAAAUCCCCGGGCUCAACCUGGGAACUGCAUUGGUGACUGGCAGGCUAGAGUAUGGCAGAGGGGGGUAGAAUUCCACGUGUAGCAGUGAAAUGCGUAGAGUGUGGAGGAAUACCGAUGGCGAAGGCGGCCCCCUGGGCCAAUACUGACGCUCAUGCACGAAAGCGUGGGGAGCAAACAGGAUUAGAUACCCUGGUAGUCCACGCCCUAAAACGAUG